rnacentral:rRNA from 1 species
UACGUAGGGUGCAAGCGUUGUCCGGAAUUAUUGGGCGUAAAGAGCUUGUAGGCGGUUUUGUCGCGUCUGCUGUGAAAUUUCGGGGCUCAACCCCGAACUUGCAGUGGGUACGGGCAGACUAGAGUGUGGUAGGGGGAGACUGGAAUUCCUGGUGUAGCGGUGAAAUGCGCAGAUAUCAGGAGGAACACCGAUGGCGAAGGCAGGUCUCUGGGCCACUACUGACGCUGAGAAAGCGAAAAGCAUGGGGGGAGCGAAACAGGG